AUUUCCUGGUGAUAAUGGCGGAGGGGCCACACCCGUUCCCAUCCCGAACACGGUAGUUAAGUCCUCCAGCGCCGAUGGUACUGCAGCUCAAGCUGUGGGAGAGUAGGUCGUCGCCAGGUUUU
rnacentral:rRNA from 1 species